GAUGAACGCUGGCGGCGUGCCUAAUACAUGCAAGUCGAACGCUGGAAAUCUAGCUUGCUAGAUUGAAGGAGUGGCGAACGGGUGAGUAAUACAUAAGCAACCUACCCACGAAGACUGGGAUAAUCUCUGGAAACGGGGACUAAUACCGGAUAGGUAAUCGGAAGGCAUCUUCUGAUUAUUAAAGGUUAAAAACACUGGUGGAUGGGCUUAUGGCGCAUUAGUUAGUUGGUGAGGUAACGGCCCACCAAGACGAUGAUGCGUAGCCGGCCUGAGAGGGUGAACGGCCACAUUGGGACUGAGGCACGGCCCAGACUCCUACGGGAGGCAGCAGUAGGGAAUUUUCGGCAAUGGGGGAAACCCUGACCGAGCAACGCCGCGUGAGUGAUGACGGCCUUCGGGUUGUAAAGCUCUGUUGUAAGGGAAGAACGGUAGAUAGAGAAUAUCUAAAUGACGGUACCUUACCAGAAAGCCACGGCUAACUACGUG
rnacentral:rRNA from 1 species